AACGAACGCUGGCGGCAGGCCUAACACAUGCAAGUCGAACGGAUGUAGCAAUACAUUAGUGGCGCACGGGUGCGUAACACGUGGGAAUGUACCCUCUGGUAAGGAAUAAUAUUUGGAAACGAAUACUAAUACCUUAUAAUAUCUUCGGAUCAAAGAUUUAUUGCCAGAGGAUCAGCCCGCGUCUGAUUAGCUAGUUGGUGAGGUAAUGGCUCACGAAGGCGACGAUCAGUAGCUGGUCUGAGAGGAUGAUCAGCCACACUGGGACUGAGACACGGCCCAGACUCCUACGGGAGGCAGCAGUGAGGAAUAUUGCGCAAUGGAGGAAACUCUGACGCAGCCAUGCCGCGUGAGUGAAGAAGGCCUUAGGGUUGUAAAGCUCUUUCAAUGGUGAAGAUAAUGACGGUAGCCAUAGAAGAAGCCCCGGCUAAAUUCGUGCCAGCCGCCGCGGUAA
rnacentral:rRNA from 1 species